AAAUAGAUGCUCAACAUCUCCCCAAGAGAUCUGUGGUUGCAAUGAACCAGGAGAACCUUUUUCAGAAGCUAAGCCAGCAUCAUUCACCCAUUCACUUGGCUCAGAAACUGCUCCCUUAACUUCCGAUCUACUCUGAUAAGCUUGUAUGCAUAGUGUCUGAGUUUGAGAAGCAACAGACGGUGAUGUGGAUGGUGAAACGGAGAUCAUGUCAGCGAUAUUUUUCAAAUUUUUGGUGAAUUGGCAAGCAAUGUCCGGUGGUGUAGUUGAAAGAGUCACAGCUGACUUCCUAUCCAACUGGUCCUCUUGACUUUGGAAAGAAAGAUUGCUUAUCGUUGCGUGUGUGCCUGCUACACCAGUUUUACAUUGAUCUAAUCCAACGCUACCACCCUUUAGAACUGCAGUACUAUGAAGAACACGCCGAGGGUCACGAGGUUUCAUGCGGACUAUAGCCACUUCAUCCGCUGAUGCUGUGUGUGUAGGAGUCUGAAGUAUUCCUACUGAUCUCUGGCCAAUAGCAGAAGAUCUGGGAGCUACUGCAACUGUUGAUGGAACUGCUCCAAGAAUAGAUUUAGAACUUGAAGCUUGUGCUGUAUUAGUUCUAGAAGCAUCAGCAGAUUUCUGCUGUUCUGUCUUGAUUAUAUUCAUCCAUAUUGAUGGAUUUAUAGCUAUAUCUUUUAACAAAGAAUGCAGAGUUGUUGACGUGCUAAUGCCUGUCACUGGAAAGUUCUCAGCAGCAUUAACUAUGACACUAGGUAUAGUAGCGAUAGUAGCUGUUACUUGCUCCAAUUUCCUAAUAUCAUUGUCACUAUUAUAUGUAGCACAGUUACUACUCGUAAUUGGCAACUCAGCAGUCCCUCUAUCCUCUAACCAACCACCAUUUCCAAUCGAAGGACGU
rnacentral:misc_RNA from 1 species